ACAAAGCAGUAAAUGACAGCGCUGUUGUUCUUUCUACUGGAGAAUCUAUUUCAGGGACAGGCAGUGGACCGUCUACGGCUGUGGGCACUAUUAUUACCUGUGGCGUCGUGCCCAUGCCUCACCGCAUUCAUUUCAAAUGCAAAGGAAAAGAGGACGUGCAAAAUGAACUGGAGUAACAUCUUGCCAGGUAGCUUCUCUGUGCUGAAUUUCCUUUAUAAUGAAGUCAGCCAUGUAAGAAAAGAAUACAAACUAAUGGCCUCUUCACCAAUCUUGCUGGGCAGUUUUGCGUGGAGCUGGUGCUCUGGAACAGCUUUUAACCAAGAGAAUUUAUGGCUGAUGCCUCUUCCACCUAAAACUGUUGAAGAUCUCAUAGAGUAA
rnacentral:lncRNA from 1 species